GAAACCCUUUAGUUAAUCUGUGAGUCCAGGUACCUCCAGCUGUUUUCUAAGUUGUUCAUUUCGAUAAGCUUCAGCAAAAUAACUCUGAAAGCAUUAAAUUCAUCAAAGAGAAUUAGGGCAAAGGAAGCGAAGGGGGGAAAUGUUGAAAGAUUUAAUUUCCUGACAGAACUCAAAAGAGAAAAUUGUCCUUUCUUAUAAUUCUGGUUGUUCUAUAUU
rnacentral:lncRNA from 1 species